CAGAGCCCAACGCAGGACUCAGACCCACAAACCAUGAGAUCACGACCUGAGCCGAAAUCAAAAGUGGGGUGCUUAACCGACUGAGCCACCCAGGUGCCCCUUAAUUGGAUUUACAUUUUCAGGCCAACCUGGCUGCAGGAGGAAGGAUUGGAGCCUGAGGAAACUCUGGGGCAGGAAGGCCUGGAGAGAGGCCAUUGCGGUGGAGUUGGUCCUCGAGCCCCAGUCUGGAGAGGAGAUGGCGGGGAGAAGGAGAAAUGGAGCAGCCAACAGAGAAGACAGUGAAGGAUACCAAGAAACCUGACUGAAACUCUGUAACUGAACACACCCUGGGGAAUUCUUUUGCAAAUACUACUGGGUUCGGGUGGGUUUCCAUCACUGGCUUUGCCUGGACACAUCAGAUUCACCUUGAAGGAAUUCACUGAAAGAAACCACCUGGUGCUAUGAAGUUGUGUCGGAAACCACCAUGACUUGCUUCAGUUGAUCGGCAGGUAAGGAAUGAUGAAUUAUGAUCUCAAAUAAAAAGAAAGCACGUGAGCAGAAGAGGAAGGAGAAAGAGAGCAAGCAGCUCAGCCAUGUAGGCAGAUAAACUGUCCCAAGAAGCCUGUCUGUGGCCGUCUGGGAGAAUGUUCCUCUGCGAAUUCCUCUCUCACCACAGAUCACAAUAAAGUCAGAGACGGUCACGGUCUAGAGGCGGAGACAUUGUUCUUUAUUCCAUUCCAUUUCCUUUUUGCGAGAAAUCUGUCUCUACAAAAGAACACUGUCCUGACUGACUUAAUAGAAAGUGGAGUUUUAGAAGUUUAUAAUGGCACAAUCGGAUCCAUAAUCGCUGAUUAACGUGAGAUUUGUGAAGACACAUGGUAAGUAAACAACUCCUUUAAGUUUUUAAAGCAUUACGUAUGACUGUAUUUUUUAAUGGCCCCUUUUAGCAUGUGAUGACCAUACCUGGUCCCCAACUUAUAUUGGACCACCCAGGAUAAAGGGACUCAAAGUGAAGGAAGGAUCCAUAAAAGACAUACAGACGCAGGGAACAGGGAUCACACCAAGUACUUAAACACCUAGCACAGGAGAGACUAUUUUAUCCAUUCUGGAAGAUUAUAUCAUAAAGGAUUAUUCUUCAAACAGCUAAAAAGACACAAAAACAGCAGUGCUGUUUCUGUAAAUACAAUCUUGCACAAGCUACUACAUGUCAGAUUGAUGAACCUCCUCCAGUUGAUGCUGGCGUGGGCCCCGGGUCUAGCGCUCCCACUCACCAUUCCUCCGAGGCCCCUACUUGGAACCCUGGCACUCUAAAGGAAACAGUUUGGAAACCUCUGGAAGCAUUGGCUCAGCUGUUCUCCAUAUACAUUCAAGACAGUCCAAGAGUAAAUGGAUUUGAGAUAUGGGAGUAGGAAUGUCGGACAAAAUCAAGGACUUUUAAAACAUUGCACAGAAGCGCCCGAACAGGAUUCCAGUGGCUCCUAAUUGUUGAUGAAAGGAAAUACAAAAGCACCUCCUUUAAGGCCACCCAGAACUGAGCAUUCUGCCUAACCGGGGAACCCGGAGGUCAUGAUCUGGCCUCAGUCUUUCUCUCCAACCUAACCUUCCACUGCUGGUCCGUCUCUCCCAGGUAGCACAACAGUGCCCUGUGCUGUCGGGUUCCCACCCACCGGCCGCAUCUGAAAUGGAGCAAGCCUGAGCUGAGAUGUGCCAGAGAAUAAAAGUGGAUUUUGAAGAUAUAGUAUGAAUAAAGAAUAGAAAUGUC